rnacentral:rRNA from 1 species
AGCAGUAGCCGCGGUAAUACGAGGGGUGCAAGCGUUAUUCGGAUUGAUUGGGUGUAAAGGGUGUGCAGACGGCUUAUUAAGUCACUUGCUAAAUUCUUUGGCCUAACUGAAGGUCUGCAAGUGAUACUGAUGAGCUAGAGGGUGGAAGAGAGAAGUGGAAUUCUCGGAGUAGCGGUAAAAUGCGUAGAUCUCGAGAGGAACACCAAUGGCGAAGGCAGCUUCUUGGUCCAUUCCUGACGUUCAUACACGAAAGCGUGGGGAGCAAACAGGAUUAGAUACCCCCGUAGUCCCUGUCUCUUAUAC